rnacentral:misc_RNA from 1 species
ACCUCUAAACAUCUUCACCUUAAUUUAAUAUUCUUUUCUCACUUCGUCUUGAUUUUAAUUAGGUUGUGUAAUCCCACUCGAUCAUGGACGUCGAUCCUCGCAGUUAUGAACAAGUUGCCAUCAAAGACAACGAAAUUCACAAUAUUGUUCUCUCAUAUCUGGUGCAUAAUUGUUAUAAAGAGACUGUGGAAUCCUUUGUAGCAUGUACAGGGAUGAAGCAGCCUGCAGAUUGUCUUGAGGACAUGGAAAAAAGAAAAAGUAUGUGAACAUAUUCAAUUUUGAUAAUAAAACGAAGGAUUUAUGGCUCAAAGUUGUUGACAAAUAGCACCUUCAUAAUGGUUGCUUUGCAAAGCUGCAUGUUUUUAUUCCAAGUUAUGCCUCUUCUUUUAUCCUUUUUGCAACUCCUUAAUUAUGUCAUUUGCAGAUUUUGUGGGCAAAAUACUUACAUCUAAUAUUUUUGGCUGUGCCUAUCUGAACCUGCUAAUCUAUUGGAAAUUUGUUUAACAUGUAGAAACAUAAACUUGACAGAACUUUAGUUGGAUUUUGAUAUGAACAUAGGAGUAGAACUAUAGGACUGCGUGUUUAUCAUUUGGAUAAGGGUUUAGCUCCUGACUCUCUUUGUUUUUGUAUGCUAUUAUGCGAUGUUACUUUUUCUUAUAAAGUAUAAAAGCUCUAACACUCUCUGUUAGUUUAAUUCGUACAUUGAGCUAUGUCCUUCAUUAUGGUGGUUCUAAUUGUACGUUAUAUGAUCAGGAAUUUUUCACUACGCAUUAGAGGGGAAUGCACUUAAGGCCAUUGAACUAACAGAAGAGCUGGCACAUGGCUUGCUAGAAAAUAAUAAAGACUUGCAUUUUAAUCUUUUGAGCCUGCAUUUUAUUGAGCUUGUCUGCACUAGGAAGUGGUGAGUAAUAUAUGACUGAUGUAUUGAAAAUCAGAAGUUCCACAUUUCCUUACCAUGAAGUCCUCCAUUUAUAUGGCAGCAGCACAGAAGCAUUGGAAUUUGCUCAAUCCAAGUUGACCCCAUUUGGGAAAGUCCAGAAAUAUGUUGAAAAGCUUGAAGUACAUUCCUUUCAGAGUCAAACCAUUUUAAACAUAUCUAACACUGAUACAGUUAGUCCAAUUCUUUGUUCGAGAUUGAAAAACAGUUUUUUAUUGCUUCAGGAUUUUAUGGCUCUGCUUGCUUACGAAGAACCAGAAAAAUCUCCAAUGUUUCAUCUGCUUAGCUUGGACUAUCGGCAGCAAGUUGUAGAUAGUUUGAACCGAGCUAUUCUUGGUUUGUUUCCUUUGUUUCUUUUCCUGUGUGCAAUAUUAUUUUGAUAAUUUUUAAUAUUGUUGAUCUCUCUUCUAAUUCUUUGAUCUUCAAUAAAUAAGCGCAUGCAAACCGCCCAAGCUAUGCAGCAAUCGAGAGGCUGAUACAACAGACAACAGUGGUCAGGCAAUGCUUAAGUCAAGAUCACAACAAGGAUGGCCUUCCACCAUUCUCUUUGAAGGAUUUUCUCAAAAGCUAGAUAUGAUGUGUUUCCAAUACUUUGGUAGGUGUAGCCAAGGUUACUUCACAACUCAUUGCCACCAUAUGGUUUUGGUGUAAGGUUUUCACAUGGGUAGAUGAUGGUCAUCGAUGCCUCCACAUCUGUAAAAAGUUGCCAAGUAGGCUGUCUCAUGUGUCUGGGUUUUGCAUUUGUUGAGGUACGCCUCUUUUCAUGGUUGGCCACAAUGCUAGCGCAUUUUGGUUCCACCCUGCAAAGUUUGGAUUUAUUUUAGCUGGUGGUUUUGAUGAUCCUAUGGCUUUUAUUUGCUUGCUAGUAUUAAGACCUUAGGAAUUAAGAUUAUCUGUAGCCUAACAUCAUAUUUUUAUUUGGCAUAAAUAGGAGUCUUGUUUAGUGAAGCAAGGUCAAGAUUCAAAGACCAUUUCAUAUCAUUUCUCAUAUGGGAAAAACUUAGGAAAAUUGUUUAUGAUAUCUCUCACGUGGCAAAAGCUGCCAGCAGUUGUGUGGUUGUAAAUAUAUUUAUAUUUGAGUAACCUGUUAUUAUCUGAAAACUGCUUCUACAUUUUUUGAGUGAUUAUAUAUUUACAUUGCGUUUAUUAGUGUUUGAAGCUGCUACCAUAUUGGGUUCCCCUCUUUUGGGAUGUUUAGUUCUUAGGUGGAGAUGUCUGGCUGUAAAUGGGAGAACAAGGGAAUGGGGUAUGAUACAGAGAAAUAUGAGUGGCUUUGAAAAUAAUAAAGGCCGUGUGGAGUUUUAUUAUUGGCCAUCUACUAUCUAGCCAAAGGUAGCAUACAGUUUUAUUUGAAAGUACUGUGUAAUUCUGCAACAUGAGUAGAUGUUUUAUUUUCUGAGAUGGUGUAAUUAUUAAAAUGAUUCUUCCAUUGGGGCUGUUUGGUUUCCCUACCUUCUCCUCUAUCGUGAUGCGAUUGCAAGGAAUUUUUUCUAUGAAGAUGAUACGUCAGCCCAGCUACUCUCACCGUUCGGAUAGGAUGGUCGCCCCUUCCUUUUUUCCAAUGAUCCUUAUGAAAUGGUUACAUCAUGCAUCCGAUUAAAAAUUGAACACAAGACAUUUGAUGCUAGCGUCUCUUUAUGCAUGUAAAAGGAGUGCUUGGGUUUGUUUGCUGUGUUGGGUUUGCAUGGAUGAAUAAAAUUACAUGGUUAAAAUCUAUCAAUUGGCAAUUGCUGUCCCAACAAAUAAAAAGGGCCAAGUUAGCGUUUCAACGUUUUGUCUUUUAAGUUUUUAUCGUAUUGAGGGAAUUUUUUAAGAUUAAAAUUUUUUAAGCAUAAUGUCUAGUUAAAGCCAUAUUGUAACGGUCCGGUCCACUAGUGAUAUUGUUCGCUCUGGGCUGAAACUUUCACGGUUUUAAAAAUGCGUCACUAGGGAUUUGCCUAGGGUGUUACAAUUGUCAAGGCUGUUGCAACAGAGAUAAAUUCUUCAUACUCUAAAACUGCAGUUUGAAUUACUUUGUCUAGGCUCCAUCUUCUCAUCUUGGAAUACAUAAUGAUUCCUGCACUUCCAUAUGUUCCACAAAAGGAAAGCCAUCAGAACCAAAGUACUAGGAUCAUGAUGAUUGUCAGUAAAAUGCGAGACUAAUUGAGGCCAGUAAUCUACCAUAGAUGAACCCCUAAUGAAGGAAGACCAAAGCAUGACUGGAGAUAGAAACCAACAAAGCACUACCCUUGUGACAUUUGAAAAACAGAUGGUCAUGCAUCUCUUUGAGACCACAAAAUUUUCAUUCUCCAAGCAAGUGAGGCAAAAUCUUGUUAACUUGAGCAUUUGUAGGCAACCUUUCCUUUAACAUCUUCCACAUAAAAAUGGAUAAUUUUGGUGGGCGCUUAAGUUUCCAAAGCCCUUUCCACAGUUGAGAGUUAAAUCGAUCUGAGGCUGGACUUGGGCCUGCUUACUUGUGAACAAGAUGGGACUAUCUUUUCUUACAAGCCAAAAAAUACCGACCUAACUGUAUACUGCCCUGAAUUAGUAUAGUGCCAAAUGAGAGAAUCUAGUUCUCUAAACAUACUAACAGGCAUUGAGAGGAUAUUCUGGACUUCUUCUUCUUCAAAAACAGCCCUAAGAUUAGAUAUGUUCCAAGAUGCCGAGUGUUCGUCCAGUAGUUGCACUACCCAUACAAUUGCAAGGUCAGCAUUACUCUUCACCUUCAGUAAUUGGGGAAAAGAUAGAGGGAUCCAUCUCUCUACUUUGCAUAAAAUCGAUUGCCCAUCAUUCAAGUUCCAUCUAAUCCCUUCCUGCAGCAAUUGUCUACCGAAAAUGCUUUGCCAACGCAUGAAGGUUGAGAGAACUGUCUAGCUUGUGAAAAGGAUGAGAAGGGAAAAUACUUACCCUUAAAGACCCUUGCCAGAAGAGAAUUAGGUUGAGAUAUAAUUCUCUAACCUUGUUUGGCUAAAAGAGCUCAAUUGAACAUCUCUAAAUCUUUCAAACCCAACCCACCUUGUGCUUCCCAUGCCACCCAAUGUAUCCUUCUUUCCUACUCUUUUUGCCGACACCAAAAACUUGCUACCAUGCUAUUGAUUUCUUUGCAAAGAGUCACUAGAAGCCUAAAGCAACUCAUAGCAAACACAGGAAUGGCAGUAGUUAUAGCUUUAAUAAGAACCUCUUUCCCUCCUUGUGAAAGCAACUUCUCUUUCCAUCCUGCAAAUUUAGCUUGAAUUUUAUGCUUCAUCUCCUUAAAAGAUUGAGAUUUGGAUCUCGAAAAAUUUGAAAGUAAGCCAAGGAAUUUAUCCUGUCCUCCCAAAUUUUUGAGACCCAAAAUAUUCAAGAUUUGUCUUCUCAAGUCUCUAGGAGUAUUAGCACUGAAGAAGAUAUAAAACUUGUCGAGAUUGACCAUUUGUCCGCUAAUCUCCACAUAUAAUUGUAGCAAAUGAUGAAUUUUGUUUGCCUCUGCUGUUGUAGCUUUUGAAAAGAUGAUGGAGUCAUCUGCAAAAAGGAAAUGCUUAAUAGGAGUACCAUGUCUAGAUAUGGUAAUGCCUUGGAUUGAAGAACUGCUCAAGUGAUAAGAUAAGCCUUCUGCACAAAAGAGGAAUAGGCAAGGGGAGAGAGGAUCCCCUUGCCUUAAGCCUCUAGAAGGAAGGAUCAAACCAAACCGAUGCCCAUUAAUUUGAACUAAGUAUGACACUAAAUCCAAGUUCCAUGAAAACCAAAGCAUUGAAGCAUAUGAAACAAAAAAAUCCAUUCCACACAUUCAUAAGCUUGACUUAUAUCAAGUUUGAUGGCCAUACCAUAGCUUUUCCUCAUCCUUCUAAAUUUACGACCAUGCAUAAUCUCAUGGCUUAUGAGGAUGUUGUUCGAGAUGAGUCUACCAUUCGUAAAUGCAUUUUGUUCCUCACUGAUGAUAGAGUUCAUAGAGGGUUGCAAUCUAUGAGUGAGAAUCUUGGGUAUGAUCUUAUAAAAGACAUUGCACAAACCAAUAGGCCUCAAAUCUUUAAUAGUGCUAACUCGUUUAACUUUCGGUACAUGAGAAAUAACAAUGUGAUUAAAGCUUUUGAGCAUUCUACCUUCAUUGAAGAAACUCAAGAUAGCCUCACUAACUUCUUCUCCCAUAAUUGACCAGUAGCUUUGGAAAAAAUGACCAGUUAAUCAAUCAUCCCUAGGGGCUUUUGAAGGAUUUAAAGAAAAAGCUGCUAGUUUGAUCUCCUCUCUCGUUACCGGCCUUAUCAAUUGCAGGUUCAUGCUCUUGUAACCCUUGGAACAAAACCAUUUGUCAGCAAAGUGAAAUUAGAAGGAUUGCAAGAUCUGUAAAUAUUAUUAAAAUAGUCUACUGCCACAUUGGUAAUGCCACGAAGAAAGUGGUGCCAACAACCUUGCUAAUCUUUCAAUUUUAAAAUGCCAUUUCUUCUUCUCCUUUGUAAAACUUUAGCAUGGAAAAAUUAGUGUUCUUAUCCCCUUUCAUCAACCAAUCCUGUCUUGCUUUCUGACUCCAGUACAAUUCUUCUCUCUUCAACUCAGCUUUCAAAACUUGCUCAAUGCCUCUGAUAACGACAUUAUGCCACACCGGUUGUCUCUUAGCUUCAGUCAACUGGUUCUGUAAGUCUUGGAUGUUCUGCCUUGAAUUUUGAUUAGAACUCCUCCUCCAAUUCAUUAAGUUGUGCUUGCAGUGCUUAACACCUUAAACAUAUGUGAGCCUUGGACAUUACUUUGCCAUGCGUCAAUAAUGAUCUAUUCAGCUUCUCUGCUUCCCAAUCAUCAAGCAUCAAAGCUAAAUAUUUGUUUAGGCUUUGGAAUAUCAUUUUUGGUAGUCAAAAAAAGCGGCCGAUGAUCUGACCCUACAUCAUCCAAUUGGUGAAUGACAGUAUUAGGAUACAUCCUAAUCCAAUCGAGAGAGCUAAGGCCUUUAUCAAGUCUUUCUUGUAUGUUAGUCGCCCCAUCUCUUAUGUUAUUCCAAGUGAAAAUUGGCCCGAAGUAACCCAUAUCUAACACGCCCAUUCUAUUUAUAAAGGUUCAAAAGGACAAAAUCUUAUUGGGAAACUGAUUAUCCCCAACUUUCUUUUCUCGACUAUCUAGGAAGGUGUUAAAGUCUCCCAUAAGAACCACUUCAUCUUUCAGAUUGCUCUUAUAUUCAAUUAAUUCAUCAAAUUGUUCCUGCCUCAUCAAGUCAUCAGAAUGCAAGUGUAAAGCAAGUAAAUCCCAAACAACAUCAUAUUGCAAAUCAACAAUACACACAUGAACAUAAUGGGAAUCAUUACUGAUAAUAUUAAUAUUAAGAGUGUCUUUCCAAGCUAUACAGAUACCCCUGACAACCCUAUUGGGUCUACAAAAAAGAAAUCAAAAAGAUCACAUUUUUGAAACAUCGACUUCACUACUCUAGCCUUAUUUUUAGUCUCAAACAAGCACACCAUAUCCAGGAAAUAGAAUUUACAUAUUCCUUUCCGAUGAUGGUUAUCAGGGAGCUCCUCAGACCCUGACAAUUCCAAGCCAAUAGCUUCAUUUGAAUGAUUGGGGCCAUUUUUAGUUGGCUUCCUCUACCGUUUCAGAUUGUGCAACAUUCAAGCAGGCUUUCUUGGUGUUCCUUCCUUCUUCUGUAUCAAUUUCGUGCUUUCUUCAUAUCACCACCUUCUGUUUGUCAUCUUUUCCAACUUGUUCAUUUUUUUCCUCUUUGUCUUCGGUAGUUAGGGCCUUAGCAUUUUCUCCUUGAUCUCUAGCUCGCCUUUUCCAUUUCUUCCUAGUUCCCGCUUCCUCCAGAAUUUUCUCCUCUGUUUUUGUCAAUUCUGUGUUGUUGGCACCCUCCUUUUGUAGUCCUUGACCUCCUUUAAAUAAUUCUACUACCAUGAGAAUUUGAUGGUCCAGCGAAAAUUCCUAUCCAGCCCUAUUAAGUCAGCAUAUAGCUUUGGGCAUUCCUUACUUACUGAAGCUUUCUUUUUUCUCGUCUACCCAUCUUACGGCCCAUAUUGUCCAUAUUUUCAUUUGAACAACCCAUAUUAAAAGCUGCAAAAGGUCCCAUCUAGCCCAUCUCCUUUUUCUACUCUGUUACCUUUAGUGAUAGGCUCCUUCUCCAACAAGUUGAUCGGUAAGAUAGGAUCUAUUUUCCUGUAUUUUUAAGGAAGUGGAAAAGUGACCAGCUGUUGAAUUUUUCUUUUCCUCUAAAAAAUUCGGCAAUGCAGAGUGGGUUUGUAGGAGAUGAAUUGCUGACUUCUGGAAGUAAUCCCACAUAAACGGGAAAUUUUGGAAGAAGUUAUGAACCUUCGUUCCCAAAGAACCAGUUAAGGAAAGAUAUGCUUGAAACAGGCCCGGGAUUUCCUCUUUGGAUAUCACUUCUGUCAAAUCUUAGUGAGCAGUUUUCGAUGCAAGCUCACGAACCAAUGUUGCAUCAGAUAAGAAAGAAUGGCUCUCCAGUCCUUCCCUUGCCGCCGAACUACCAAAUUCAUCAGGGAGAUUCCUUCCCAAUGGGGUUUGUGUCAAUGGAGGAACAUCUGAUUUGUGAAAAUCUGGAAGGGUAAUGGUAAGAGUAUGUGUUUGUUUGGCUUUAUGGGA